GCCUGCUGCCAUCCAUGUUAAGAUAUGACUUGCUCCUCGUCUUCCGCCAUUAUUGUGAGGCCUCCCCAGCCAUGUGAAACUGAGGAAGAGGCAGAGCAAGACGGCUCAAUAGAAGCCUCCACUAAUUGUCCUCCCCACUGGAACACCAAAUUGAACAACUAUCCACACAAAGAAGCACCUUCGUAAGAACCAAAAAUCAGGUGCCAGACAGAAAGUCAUCUCUCUGCUCAACUGAGACAAAUGCAGAUUCAUUGAGCCAGACUAAGGCAUAAGUGACUAUUCCUCUAUGUUCCCCAACAUGUAAAUUGUGGAUUCAGUGAAAGGCUGAUUGAAGAGUCAGAAGAAUGUAACUUUUUGUCUCUUAUCUACCUGGAACCACACCUUAUCUACCUGGAACUGUCCCCUCCCCGCCCCCCCAAUCCCGCCCUGUUUUGAGUUGUCCUGCCUUUCUGGACCAAAUCAAUGCACAUCUUACACAUAUUGAUUGAUGUCUCAUAUCUCCCUAAAAUGUGUAAAAGUGAGCUGUACCCUGACCACCUUGAGCACAUGUUGCCAGGACACAGCCUCCUGAGGGUACAUCUUUAACCUUGGCAAAAUAAACUUUCUAAAUUGAUUAAGGCCUGUCUCAGACACUUUGAGUUGAC
rnacentral:lncRNA from 1 species